rnacentral:tRNA from 1 species
GCAGCGCUGGCCGGCAGGUUCCGGCGGCUGGUGCACUACAGCUGCCUGGGCGUGCUCGGCGAGGCCGACGAACGACGGUUCCAAUCCCUGUGUGACG